AUCUGGUUGAUCCUGCCAGUAGUCAUACGCUCGUCUCAAAGAUUAAGCCAUGCAUGUGUAAGUAUAAAUAUUCUACUUUGAAACUGCGAAUGGCUCAUUAUAUCAGUUAUAGUUUAUUUGAUGAAAUGUACUACUUGGAUAACCGUAGUAAUUCUAGAGCUAAUACAUGAUCAAUUCCUCGACUUUGAAGAGGUGUAUUUAUUAGAAUGAAAACCAAUAGACUCUGUCUGUUUGUGAGUAAUAAUAACUUGUCAUAUCGCAUGCUUAGGUAGCGAUGUGUCUUUUAAGUUUCUGCCCUAUCAGCUUUCGAUGGUAGUGUAUUGGACUACCAUGGCAGUAACGGGUAACGAAGAAUUUGGGUUCGAUUUCGGAGAGGGAGCCUGAGAGAUGGCUACCACAUCCAAGGAAGGCAGCAGGCGCGUAAAUUACCCAAUCCUGACAUAGGGAGGUAGUGACAAUAAAUCACAAUGCGGGACUUCUGUUUCGCAAUUGGAUUGAGAACAACGCAGAACACUUAUCGAUAAACAAUUGGAGGGCAAGUCCUGGUGCCAGCAGCCGCGGUAAUCCAGCUCCCAAUAAGGCGAUA
rnacentral:rRNA from 1 species